AACCUACCUGAAUCUUUCUGCGCACCAACCUCUUUGCAAGCUCCGAGGCCGCUCAGCUCUGGGUCUAGAGCACAAGACCCUGCCUACUGGCCUUUUCUUUUUUCCUCAGGUCAGCGCAGGGUUACUCAGUGUCACCACUGGGGCAGUGGCAGCUAAGAAGCUGCGGAGUGGAGCCAAGUGGCAGGUAAGAGUCCAGCACUCGGGGAUCCCCGGGCUGGGCGCAGCCCGCGCCAAUACCGCCCCACCCCCCGCUGCCGCCCGACCGCGCCCAGCGGCAGCUCCUACGGAGCGCGCGGCCAGUCCGGCAGCGGGAGCCGCAGAGCGCGCGUGGGCGUGGCGCCCGUGAGCUCCCGAGAGGGCUGAGCGAUCGGGGAAGAGAUUUCCCCCAUCUCUGCCCUGCCACCGGGAUCUCCGCUUUCCACCGUGGGGCGGGGCCCGGACUGGGGGCGGGGCGCCGGGCGGGCGCGGCGCUAUUUCCAGCCUUGCCGGAGGCUCCGCUCGCACUUCGCUGGGAGCCUUCCCGGCGCGUGAGCCCGAUUCGGUAGCACAGCCGGGAAGAGACAGGACCGGGCGGUGGCGGCAGAGACAGGGGGACGCACCCGGUGCAGAGGACCCAAUAGGAGCACGCCGCCGCAACCUCUCCCGCGCGCUCCGGUCGCCGACUCUACGCCGACCGCCCACUCCCCGCACCUUGGACUACGCGGAGAAAGAGACGCAGCCCGGCCCGAACUGGGGCGGAGAUCCUUCUUGCUUCCCAAGAACCCGGGAGGAAGAUUCUCCCGCCGCCAAGAACCGUGCGGGACCGGAGGAACCCGUGGCCUGGAAAGCUCCGGUUGUGCCAGAUCCCAGCCUGAUGGAUGUCUGGUGUGGAUAAUGAGGGAAGAACGUGCCUUUUAACACCCAAGAGGUGACCCCGGAGUGCGCCCCGGAUGACCCCACGACUCGGAACAAUGCGGCUAGCCUGCAUGUUCUCGUCCAUCUUGCUGUUUGGAGCUGCGGGCCUGCUUCUCUUCAUCAGCCUGCAGGACCCUAUAGAGCUCAGCCCCCAGCAGUUUCCAGGUUGACAGGAGUGACAACCAGAGUAAAUCCCCGUGUCUGAG
rnacentral:lncRNA from 1 species